AACGAACGCUGGCGGCAUGCCUAACACAUGCAAGUCGAACGAGACCUUCGGGUCUAGUGGCGCACGGGUGCGUAACGCGUGGGAACCUGCCCUUAGGUUCGGAAUAACUCACCGAAAGGGGUGCUAAUACCGGAUAAUGUCUUCGGACCAAAGAUUUAUCGCCUUUGGAUGGGCCCGCGUUGGAUUAGCUAGUUGGUAGGGUAAAAGCCUACCAAGGCGACGAUCCAUAGCUGGUCUGGGAGGAUGAUCAGCCACACUGGGACUGAGACACGGCCCAGACUCCGACGGGAGGCAGCAGUAGGGAAUAUUAGGCAAUGGGCGAAAGCCUAAUCCAGCAAUGCCGCGUGAGUGAUGAAGGCCUUAGGGUUGUAAAGCUCUUUUACCCGGGAUGAGAAUGACAGUACCGGGAGAAGAAGCUCCGGCUAACUCCGUG
rnacentral:rRNA from 1 species